rnacentral:lncRNA from 1 species
AUGAAGAAUCAUGUAAUUGAUCUCAAAGAUCAAUCACCAAUCGACAAUAAGGAGUGAUCGGCACCUAUAAAUAAAGAAGCAGAAGCUCUUCACCAAUUCACAAACAAGUACUUUGUCCUCUCAGUUUCAAUAUUUUGUCUUUCGAGUUGGUUGUUGUUAUUAUCGUUUUUUAGUGAAAAGUUAAUAGGUUGUGAUUAAGAGAAGAGAGUGUGAGUGGAGUGUUCUUGGUUAGUCGAUAAGAUUGUUGGUGAGUAACGAUCUGUAUCGCAGCUUUUGUUGUCGAGAAGUCACAGGUAUAAGUUGUCACUCCGUGUG